UACGUAGGUGGCAAGCGUUGUCCGAAUUUACUGGGUGUAAAGGGCGUGUAGGCGGAACUGUAGGUCAGAUGUGAAAACUCGCGGCUUAACUGCGAGACUGCAUUUGAAACCAUAGUUCUUGAGUUACGGAGAGGAAAGUGGAAUUCCUAGUGUAGCGGUGGAAUGCAUAGAUAUUAGGAGGAACAUCAGUGGCGAAGGCGGCUUUCUGGACGAUAACUGACGCUGAGACGCGAAAGCGUGGGGAGCAAACAGG
rnacentral:rRNA from 1 species